UACGUAGGGCGCGAGCGUUGUCCGGAAUUAUUGGGCGUAAAGAGCUCGUAGGCGGCCUGUUGCGUCCGCUGUGAAAUCCCAGGGCUCAACCCUGGGCGUGCAGUGGAUACGGGCAGGCUGGAGGCAGGCAGGGGAGAACGGAAUUCCCGGUGUAGCGGUGAAAUGCGUAGAGAUGUGGAGGAACACCAGUGGCGAAGGCGACUUUCUGGUCUAUAACUGACACUGAGGCGCGAAAGCGUGGGGGAGCAAACAGG
rnacentral:rRNA from 1 species